rnacentral:rRNA from 1 species
GAUGAACGCUAGCGACAGGCUUAACACAUGCAAGUCGAGGGGCAGCGGGGUGUGGCAACACAUUGCCGGCGACCGGCGCACGGGUGAGUAACGCGUAUGCAACUUGCCUAUCAGAGGGGGAUAACCCGGCGAAAGUCGGACUAAUACCGCAUAAAACAGGGGUUCCGCAAGGGGAUAUUUGUUAAAGAUUCAUCGCUGAUAGAUAGGCAUGCGUUCCAUUAGGCAGUUGGCGGGGUAACGGCCCACCAAACCGACGAUGGAUAGGGGUUCUGAGAGGAAGGUCCCCCACAUUGGUACUGAGACACGGACCAAACUCCGACGGGAGGCAGCAGUGGGGAAUAUUGGUCAAUGGCCGGGAGGCUGAACAGCCAAGUCGCGUGGAGGACGAAGGUCCUAUGGAUUGUAAACUUCUUUUGUGCGGGAAUAAAGUCGGGGACGCGUCCCCGUUUGCAUGUACCGCACGAAUAAGCAUCGGCUAACUCCGUGCCAGCCGCCGCAGUAA